GUGCGCGCGCACGAUUGGCAGCUCCACGUCGACAUUCUUCCAGCUGCUCCACGGACACGGACGCGGCGUGAAAGCGCGUCAUCUGCUCAGUUCACGAGUGAAGUCGUCCGCACAGAGCUGUGCGUCUCCUGUCGUUGCGUUUUAUUCCGUGCGUGAGAUGCAGCAGGAAGACAUUUCUCCAAGGAGUACCUGUUGUGAUGUGCCAUCUGCUACAGACAUAAGCUGUGUUUCUCUCAGAGGGUCGUGAGGAAGAGUUUCACUGCGAAGAAGGAAAACUAGUGUGCAAUGCUGUGGCUUUCCAAGUAAAGUUCUGUGAUACACUCCGACUCUAAUUGUUUGCAGUCAGUGCAUUACAGAACUUUGUUUUGGGAGUUUAAAGCUCAGGCCUGGAGGAAACAAUCAUUCCAUUUGGAUGAAGCUGUAACAGCCCCUCGAAAAGCUCUCAACUGCAUUAAACUUCACAUACUGUGUCCCUCAAAUGCAUGCACAAAUAAAUCUCAUCAUUAUCAUGAUUACAAA